rnacentral:rRNA from 1 species
UACGGGGGGUGCAAGCGUUGUUCGGAUUUACUGGGCGUAAAGGGCGCGUAGGCGGCCAGCACAAGUCAGUUGUGAAAUCUCCGGGCUUAACUCGGAAAGGUCAACUGAUACUGUGUGGCUAGAGUGCAGAAGGGGCAACUGGAAUUCUCGGUGUAGCGGUGAAAUGCGUAGAUAUCGGGAGGAACAUCAGUGGCGAAGGCGGCUACCUGGCCCAAUACUGACACUCAGGUGCGACAGCGUGGGGAGCAAACAGG